rnacentral:rRNA from 1 species
GAAUUGCUAGUAAUCGCGGAUCAGCAUGCCGCGGUGAAUACGUUCCCGGGCCUUGUACACACCGCCCGUCACACCAUGAGAGUCGAUAACACCCGAAGCCUGUAGUCUAACCAUAUGGGGGACGCAGUCGAAGGUGGGAUUGAUAAUUAGGGUGAAGUCGUAACAAGGUACC